GGGGGAAUGAGUUAAUGGCCAUGCGCGCGGUCUCCAAAACCGUGAAUCUGGGUUCGAAUCCCAGUUCCCCCG
rnacentral:tRNA from 1 species